UAGGGAAUAUUGGGCAAUGGACGCAAGUCUGACCCAGCCAUGCCGCGUGCAGGAAUGACGGCCCUAUGGGUUGUAAACUGCUUUUCUGCAAGAAGAAACCCCCGUACGUGUACGGGGCUGACGGUAUUGCAGGAAUAAGCAUCGGCUAACUCCGUGCCAGCAGCCGCGGUAAUACGGAGGAUGCAAGCGUUAUCCGGAUUCAUUGGGUUUAAAGGGUGCGCAGGCGGAUUAGUAAGUCAGUGGUGAAAGCCUACAGCUUAACUGUAGAACUGCCGUUGAUACUGCUAAUCUUGAGUGUAGUUGAGGUAGGCGGAAUGUGUCAUGUAGCGGUGAAAUGCUUAGAUAUGACACAGAACACCGAUCGUGAAGACAGCUUACCAAGCUACAACUGACGCUCAUG
rnacentral:rRNA from 1 species